GGGGAUGUAGUUCGGAUGGUAGAGCACUUGCUUAGCAUGCGAGAGGUACGGGGAUCGAUACCCCGCAUCUCCA
rnacentral:tRNA from 1 species